rnacentral:rRNA from 1 species
GGCAUAGCCCGGAGAAAUCCGGAUUAACUCCCCAUAAGAUAUUAGGGUGGCAUCACCCAUAUAUUAAAACUCCGGUGGACAGAGAUGAGUGUGCGUCCCAUUAGGUAGUUGGUAGGGUAACGGCCUACCAAGCCGACGAUGGGUAGCUGGUGUGAGAGCACGACCAGCCACACGGGCACUGAGACACGGGCCCGACUCCUACGGGAGGCAGCAGUGAGGAAUAUUGGUCAAUGGACGCAAGUCUGAACCAGCCAUGCCGCGUGAAGGAUGAAGGCCUUCUGGGUUGUAAACUUCUUUUAUCUGGGAAGAAACCUCCGAUUUCUAUUGGAGCCGACGGUACCAGAGGAAUAAGCACCGGCUAACUCCGUGCCAGCAGCCGCGGUAAUACGGAGGGUGCAAGCGUUAUCCGGAUUCACUGGGUUUAAAGGGUGUGUAGGCGGGUAUUUAAGUCAGUGGUGAAAUCUCCGAGCUCAACUCGGAAACUGCCAUUGAUACUAUUUAUCUUGAAUAUCGUUGAGGUAGGCGGAAUAUGUCAUGUAGCGGUGAAAUGCUUAGAGAUGACAUAGAACACCGAUUGCGAAGGCAGCUUACUAAACGAUCAUUGACGCUGAGGCACGAAAGCGUGGGGAUCAAACAGGAUUAGAUACCCUGGUAGUCCACGCCCUAAACGAUGAUUACUCGACAUACGCGAUACACAGUGUGUGUCUGAGCGAAAGCAUUAAGUAAUCCACCUGGGAAGUACGUCCGCAAGGAUGAAACUCAAAUGAAUUGACGG